rnacentral:misc_RNA from 1 species
AACGCACGAGACCUGCGGACCUGCGGAGGGAUCAUUACCGAGUUAUCCAACUCCCAACCCCUGUGAAUUAUACCUUUAAUUGUUGCUUCGGCGGGACUUCGCGCCCGCCGGGGACCCAAGCCUUCUGAAUUUUUUAAUAAGUAUCUUCUGAGUGGUUAAAAAAAUGAAUCAAAACUUUUAACAAUGGAUCUCU